rnacentral:misc_RNA from 1 species
CUGCAUCAACCUCAGCACCUCCGACGUCGAGGACGACGACGAGGAGGCCAAGGACCGCCCCCUCAUGUUCAGCAAGCCGGCCGCGCACGAUCCUGUUACCGAUUUCGGCGGCGCCGCUCCGGCUGAUGAUUUCUCCUCUCCGGUCUGAUUGCCGCCGCCGCGGUAUGAUUUCAUUUUCUCUAUCGUCGCCGAUUUGAUGUUUGAGG